AACCUGUGCGUUGUUAUUUGUGUACUUGCUUAUUUAAGACACGUACGCAGAGCUGACAAGAGUGCAGCAACAGCGACGAGACCACAACAAAACCUUCAGCGGAUUGAGCCCCCAUCCUCCAAGUCCAGCCCCCUUUACCGCCCAGCCGUUCAAGUCAACGAACCCCAAUGUAAGCAGGCAGUAAAAGUCAUCUCGUCGUUUUUCCCGCGGCUUUUUAGUCACAUAUUUAGCCGAUGAAGCUGGUGGUGGGAAAAAAACGUAGCAGUAGUAAUAAACAAUAAACAAGGCAGCCAGCCCAUCAUCGUUGUUGUUGCAGCCGAUAGUGCAAAUAUGCACAAUGAAGUGCAAACAGCGAAGCCCGUAUGCGUAGUGGAAAUGAUAAACGGGAGAAGAGGUGCUUAAGCAUUGUUUACCCGGCGUAUACGUAAUAAAGGAAACUUCAUUUGAAGCUUCCGUUUGGCGAUAUUUCUUUGGCGAAAUAUAAUGAAUACCCAUUGGGAUAUGUGGAUAUUUAGCUUAAAAUAAACUGACCAAAUACGAACCCAAUGAAUCUUGAAGUAAUAUGACUAACCAAUACUUCUCAACACUGAAUUCUUUCCAAGAAGUGAACUUCGUUUUUAAUGAUAAAUCCAUUUCAAAAGACCAACUACUUUUUUCAUAAAACACUGCCACGUUCCGAUGACGAAUUGCAAAGAAGAUCUAAUCACAUUCUUGUUCUGAUAAAAACCAACCCAAAUAAAUUUGGGCUUUCCGCAGAUAACACUAAAGGCUGCCAUAGACAGAAGAAAAAACACAAGAGCG
ensembl:ncRNA lncRNA:CR44274 long non-coding RNA:CR44274